UUUUUUUUUUUUUGAGAUAGGGUUUUUCUGGCUGUCCCAGAACUUGCUCAGUAGACCAGGCUGGCCUUGAAUACAAAGAUCAGCCAGCCUCUGCCUUCUUGAGUUGUUCUGGGAUUAAAGGUGUGUGCCACUGCUCAGCCAACUCAAUGAUUUUUUUAAAACCUGUGUUGAUGGUAUUCCCUUUGGAUUGCUGGGAAGCUGACCCACACAGUAACAUAUUAGCAAUAGUGUGUAUAAAAAGAGAAGUUGGGGGAUGCGGCUAGAAUUCUAGAACUCUACCACAGUGACCCCUGGUUCCUGAAAACAGUUUUGCUUUGUACUGUUUCCUUGGUGUGGUGGAGAGGCUUGGCUUUCCAGUUGGGAAGCUUGAUUCAGAAACAAAAAGGUCGGUGCCAGAUGUAGGAGCAGAAAACUAUGGGAACACGUGGUGAUGGGCUGACCAAAGCAGAGGAUUAUAAAGAGAAAGGAAGGGCCCACAGACAGGAGGGAGCGGGAAGCAAAUCCAGAAAGCCUGCAUUUGAUUCUUAGGCGGUAGAGAAGCUGAGCACAUUCCUAAGGAGGAAAGUGGUAGAGUGUAGCCAAGGAAAGUGGGUUCUGCAACAGGCUGGUUCCACAGCCCCCAUUGCUUUGAACAUAACUCAUUCCAUAUUCGCGCCUCGUGCAACCCCAAACCAGAUUUAAUCCAAGUUACUUUCCCAGAGUAGGUGCAGAAGUCUGGAUUUGAGACAUAGAAUGGGCCUUCCAUCAAUAAUAAUAAUAAUAAAAAUCACAAAAAGUCUAUGGUCUCUGCUCCACGAUCACUCAUUGACGAAGGCCAGCAGUUCAAGGGUCUGGAGUGGCUACAGAUGGGUGUGGUUUGGGCGAGACUUUGAUACACUGGGAGCAGGAUUAGUAGAGCUCCCUAGUUAACGUGGUCUCUAGUCCCAUAGUGGGCCACUUCUCAUACUGUCUUGGGGGCAGUCGCCCUGUGCAACUCAUCUUCAUACACACGGCAUGCAGUGGAGCCUUGUCUUACUGUAAUCUCAUUGGACGGCAGAUAUCUUUACCUUCAGAAGGGUUGUUUCACUGUUACAUUGAUAAUCAUCUACUAUUCACAAACCAAAGGCACAGAUUCAUUGCCUUACCCCCUCGCAUGCUCACAGGAAAUAACGUGAUGUCUCAUCUCGACACUUGCUCUGUUUGGGAGCCUGUGUCCACAGCCUCCGCAUGACAAUGAUGCUGCAGCACACGGUAGCAGCUUGAGGGUGCUAAUGAUUCUUUCUAGCUUCUGGUACGUUCCUUGGCUUACAGUUACACCACUUUAAGCUUAGCCUCUGCCUUCACAUGGCCUUUACCCUGCAUCUCUAUGUCUGAGUCUCCCUCUCCUUAUUUCUAAUAAGAAUGCUAGCCAUUACAUCAGGGCCCCCUCACGGCUGUACAACUCCAGCUUACCUGAGUAACUUUUACAGAGACUAUUUUCAAAUAAAGUUAUGUUCACAGAAGAAAUCAGAACUUGAACAUGUUUUAGGACAGGGGUCAGGGUAAGGGCAUGGUAGCUUGUCACCUUUCUUGUGGGGUGAGGUGCUAUGGGGCUCAAGAAAAGCUUCUAUAGUGUUUUGGCCAGAGACCAACAGAGGAUGCCGGGAUAAGCCUUGGAGCCUAUGUUUCUAAACAAUGUGGCCAGGGUUCAAGGCUUCAUGUAGCAUGUGCAACACCCCUCAUUGUUGCCUGUGCUCAUCUUAGUUCCUCUGUUAGUGACCAUCAGCCCUCAUGUCUUUUGGUUCAUUGGUUCAUAGCAUUUCUUCUUAGGGAUGAAUGGAGUACUAAGCAUGAACCACAUCACAUUUCCCUUGGGGGAGGGGCUCGCUGAAAAAUCUAAGAUUUUUCUGGAUUCUAGGAAAGGCAGGUCUUCCAGAGUCAAGAAUGGCCUGUUAAAGCUAAGCAUUACUCCACUCAUGAUAUGACCCCAACCAUAAAAUCAUUUUCAUGGCUACUUCAUAACUGUAUUUUUGCUGAUGUUAUGAAUCAUAAUAUAAGUAUCAGAUAUGCAGGAUAUCUGAUAUCUGUCUCCCAUGAAAGGGUUGUUGAACCCCAAAGGGGCCAUGACCCACAGGUUGAGAACCACUGGUACCGUAGGCGUGUGAGGUCAGUAGCUUGGAUUGUACAAAGACAGUAGAACGCUACAGAGCACCCUGCAGGGCCAUUGCUUCUGUCUGAUGUUACUCACAAGGCCUGCAGUCCUGAGAAGAUAUGCCUGAUUUUUGGAAGGCCAGACUUUCCCACAUUUGGAUCUGUCUAAUAGCUCUGCACCGGAGGAGACAAUCUGUUUUCUCAAGCUAUGGUGUCACGAUGGCCCAGAAA
rnacentral:lncRNA from 1 species